AGAACGAACGCUGGCGGCAUGCCUAACACAUGCAAGUCGAACGGAUGGCUUCGGCCAUUAGUGGCGCACGGGUGCGUAACGCGUGGGGAUCUGCCCUUAGGUACGGAAUAACUCAGGGAAACUUGAGCUAAUACCGUAUAAUGACUUCGGUCCAAAGAUUUAUCGCCUAGGGAUGAACCCGCGUAGGAUUAGCUUGUUGGUGAGGUAACGGCUCACCAAGCCUACGAUCCUUAGCUGAUCUGAGAGGAUGAUCAGCCACACUGGGACUGAGACACGGCCCAGACUCCUACGGGAGGCAGCAGUGGGGAAUCUUGGACAAUGGGCGCAAGCCUGAUCCAGCCAUGCCGCGUGAGUGAAGAAGGCCUUGGUUGUAAAGCUCUUUACCAGGACGAUAAUGACGGUACCUGGAGAAUAAGCCCGCAAACUCGUGCCAGCAGCCGC
rnacentral:rRNA from 1 species